GAUGAAGAACGCAGCGAAAUGCGAUAAGUAGUGUGAAUUGCAGAAUUCAGUGAAUCAUUGAAUCUUUGAACGCACAUUGCGCCCCUUGGUAUUCCAUGGGGCAUGCCUGUUCGAGCGUCAUUUGUACCUUCAAGCUUUGCUUGGUGUUGGGUGUUUGUCUCGCCUUUGCGUGUAGACUCGCCUUAAAAUAAUUGGCAGCCGGCGUAUUGAUUUCGGAGCGCAGUACAUCUCGCGCUUUGCACUCAUAACGACAGCGUCCAAAAGUACAUUUUACACUCUUGACCUCGGAUCAGGUAGGGAUACCCGCUGAACUUAAGCAUAUCAAUAAGCGGAGGA
rnacentral:misc_RNA from 1 species